rnacentral:lncRNA from 1 species
CCGGGCUGGGAGCGCUUUGGUUUUCAAGUGCUGUGGUCAGCUGAGGGCUCCCUGGGCACCCUUUAAAAGGAGCCCGUCCCCGUCCCACGUUGUCGCCAUCCUGAUGUUAGCUUGUCUCUUGUCUGUAACUCUCCCGCUCGCCGCGACAGAGGGUCCAGGCAGGCAGGCCCGGGCUGCGGCUACCCCGGAGUGGGCUCCCCAGUUCCAGGAUAAUGCUUGGAUGCGGCCGCUCUGGUAGCAAAAGAGAAAGCUGCUUUUUCUUACUGAGAAAAUGGUGAAAAAUAGCACCUUUUAUCCCACCAUCGGAGGUCAACAUUAACAUUUCUGUGUCACUUCCCAUGGAUAAAUACUGUAUGCAUUUAUUCUCCAAAAAAUCCUGCUCAGCAAACUUUAGUAACCUUAUCCUUACACGUUACGAAUUUUUAUUUUUUUAUUAUCGCUCUGCGUCCCCAUUGUCAACGCUCAUCUGGGGUUGUUAACCUGUGGUGUGCAGAAGUGUGUGUCUGUGUUUCUCAGUGUGUGCUUGGGCACACAGAGAAGUGCUGUGUACGUUUCAUCAUUUGUUCUAGCGAGUCCCGGCCCCCUGAAGAGGUUAAGAAUCGUGCCUACACCUCGAACGAGCCCGUGCGCGGACCUCCAGGUCUCCGGUGAGAGCAAUGGAUUCCAUUUAGAGAUAGGCUAGCCUCCAUGUGUCAAGCUUCAGCCCCGGAGUUGUGUCCAUCAUCCUACGGGAGGAGGCUGAGAAGAAGAUGAGAGCUGAGGAAACGUGCUCCACCACAAAGGUCAGCAAAACUCCUUAUGUUGGGGGCAGCCGCUACUACCUAUUAGGGGACCAGCGCUCUGGCAGAAGAGCUUGCGGCUGGAAAUGUGCGGUGUGAACAGGGCUCUCAAUUCAGACAGGAGGUGCUUUUUUUUUUUUUUAAAGGAUGGCAUAUUCCCUGCAGUUUUCAAUAUAGCUCACAGUCCCCAAGUGAGGAAGCUCCUGCCUUCAAGGCAAUCUCCUAUCAGUGACUUCUUGACGUAGUUGGUGAUAUAAACACAGCAGAGCCGUCAGUCAGGCCUGGCUGGGCUGUGGUACUUGUUAAUGGUGGGAAAUUAAACCCCAAGCCUCGGUUUUCUCAUUCAUAAAAUAGGGGUGAUAAUGCCAGACUCAUGGGCCUUUCACAGGAUUUAAUUGGAGAAGAUGGGAGUAAAACGCCCAGGUAGAGUGUCAGACCCAUUGUUAUUGGUAUUAUAAUUAUAAUGAAUUCCUUCCCUAUAAUGACCGUUUCCUGAAAAGUUUAAUCACCAGUUACCUCCAAACCAUUCAAACUAGAGACACUCAAGAACUUCAUUCAGUACAACACCAUGCCUGGCCCAGAGCUGAG